rfam:Felis catus isolate Cinnamon breed Abyssinian chromosome B4, whole genome shotgun sequence.
UAAAAGGCUUUUUCACAGCGAGGAAAGCCACCAAGAAGACAAAAAAGUAAUCU